GAUGAAGAACGCAGCGAAAUGCGAUAAGUAAUGUGAAUUGCAGAAUUCAGUGAAUCAUCGAAUCUUUGAACGCACCUUGCGCUCCUUGGUAUUCCGAGGAGCAUGCCUGUUUGAGUGUCAUGAAAUUCUCAACCCAUAAGUCCUUGUGAUCUAUGGGCUUGGAUUUGGAGGCUUGCUGGCCCUAGCGGUCGGCUCCUCUUGAAUGCAUUAGCUUGAUUCCGUGCGGAUCGGCUCUCAGUGUGAUAAUUGUCUACGCUGUGACCGUGAAGCGUUUUGGCAAGCUUCUAACCGUCCAUUAGGACAAUCUUUCAACAUCUGACCUCAAAUCAGGUAGGACUACCCGCUGAACUUAAGCAUAUCAAUAAGCGGAGGA
rnacentral:misc_RNA from 1 species